AGACUGUAUUAACACUCAGUGGUCAAAGAAUCUUUAGGCACAGCAAGACUUCUCCAGCCACACUCAGAGGAAGAUCAAUAUCCAUAAAUAAAUGCAUUUUCUCUCUGGCUUUGCCUUGGAGUUCAGUCUAGUUCCAUAAAUCUGCAUUACAAGGCAAGACAUAAACA
rnacentral:lncRNA from 1 species